rnacentral:rRNA from 1 species
CCUACGGGCGGCAGCAGUGGGGAAUAUUGGACAAUGGGGGCAACCCUGAUCCAGCCAUGCCGCGUGUGUGAAGAAGGCCCUCGGGUUGUAAAGCACUUUCAGUGAGGAAGAACGCCUGGUGGUUAAUACCCAUCAGGAAAGACAUCACUCACAGAAGAAGCACCGGCUAACUCCGUGCCAGCAGCCGCGGUAAUACGGAGGGUGCGAGCGUUAAUCGGAAUUACUGGGCGUAAAGCGCGCGUAGGUGGCUUGAUAAGCCGGUUGUGAAAGCCCCGGGCUCAACCUGGGAACGGCAUCCGGAACUGUCAAGCUAGAGUGCAGGAGAGGAAGGUAGAAUUCCCGGUGUAGCGGUGAAAUGCGUAGAGCUCGGGAGGAAUACCAGUGGCGAAGGCGGCCUUCUGGACUGACACUGACACUGAGGUGCGAAAGCGUGGGUAGCAAACAGGAUUAGAUACCCUAGUAGUC